rnacentral:ncRNA from 1 species
CCGCCAAUGCGGAAGGAUCCCGCCGAAAAGAAUGGAACGCUGCUUCGCUCUGCUAGAUGCGUCGGAUCCCAUUUAAGAAGGGAAUCAAGGCUGUAAGGCGGAGCGAAUCCGGAAAGAUUGCCUCAGUUCGGAUUGUUCUCUGCAACUCGGGAACAUGAAGUUGAAAUCGCUAGUAAUUGCGGAUCAGCAUGCAACGGUGAAUAUGUACCCGG